rnacentral:rRNA from 1 species
GACGAACGCUGUCGGCGUGCUUAACACAUGCAAGUCGAACGGUGAACCUCUUCGGAGGGGAUCAGUGGCGAACGGGUGAGUAACACGUGGGCAACCUGCCCCCGGCUCUGGGAUAACUCCAAGAAAUUGGGGCUAAUACCGGAUGUUCACCGCUUCCCGCAUGGGUGGUGGUGGAAAGGGUUUCCGGCUGGGGAUGGGCCCGCGGCCUAUCAGCUUGUUGGUGGGGUAGUGGCCUACCAAGGCGACGACGGGUAGCCGGCCUGAGAGGGUGACCGGCCACACUGGGACUGAGACACGGCCCAGACUCCUACGGGAGGCAGCAGUGGGGAAUAUUGCGCAAUGGGCGGAAGCCUGACGCAGCGACGCCGCGUGGGGGAUGACGGCCUUCGGGUUGUAAACCUCUUUCAGCAGGGACGAAGCGCAAGUGACGGUACCUGCAGAAGAAGCACCGGCCAACUACGUG